AGAACCGUCCUUCACCUCCCCAGUUGGCAGAACACCGGCGCCACGCGGCCAUCGACCUCUAGUGCCCAUCCCUUGCUGCCAAUAAUCGAGCAACAUGCUCCUGACGCCUUGCCGUCCUUAUCCAUGUGCCCAGGCCUCAAAUCAGCCCCUUCCCCAAGCCUCACUGCCUCCAAAACCAUCCAUUCCCCAUUACCGUGCCUUCCCGAGCUCCUUUGUUCGCCGACCGGAUUCCACCCAACUCCGGCCGUCUCCCUCCAAUAGCUCACGCCUGAAGCUCCUCCACCCUCCUAGCUCCAACCUCCGACACUUUCCGUCGCCCGUGGUCCACUGAGCCACCAGGAAUCGAAGUUUUCCCCACCGCCCGAAGCUUCAACCACUGUCGUCUACCCCACCGUGGACACCCACCCUCCAGCCCUCUUCUUCGCUACCCGACCGCUCAAAUGGAGCUUAGGUGAGGCCCUAGUUCUCGCGCUAGUUCAUCUUGUUAGCUGAGUUUCCACGCUCGUUCCCAGUGUUGCCACCGGCGUGCGCCGCCGCCUCCUGGAGCCCAUGCAGCGCCACCCCAUUCCCCAUCGCCGACCCUGCUGUUGAGCCCUCUAGCCUCCGUGUGCCGUGCUCCCACUCCUCUCUCUGCCAAGCCACGCACCUUCCCCCUUGCCGCCGCCGGCCUAGGGCAAGGGCCACGGUAGGCCAUGCCAAGUGUUGUGCCUGUUCUGCUGUUUGUGUGUGCGUGUGGAUGCCUUGUGAGAAGAAGAAGAAAUGGUAGGGGGGUUAUGGGAAAAGUCUAGGGAUCUUUGCAUGAGGAAAAACAUAGAUCUCAGGGCCUAGAUGCAAAAUAGUCUCGGUUUUGUGUUAUUUCGUAGAUUUAAAAUCGAUGAAACUUUCAAAAUGUGUAGGAAAAUGUAGAAAAAUGGGAAAAAUAUGAAACUUAUUUUCCUAGGUUCCUGAUAAUAUCUAGUUUCUUUUAAAAAUAUUCAUAUGCAUGUUACUGAUCUGUAUGUAGCACUAGAUUUUAUUUUGUAUAAAAGCCAACAAAUGCUUUAUAAAUCAUAAAAAACUUGGAAAAAUAUGAAACCACUUCUCUUAGUUUACGUUUGACAUGCAUGUUCUGGAUCUAUAAGUUGUGCUACUAGAAUCCCUGAUGUUUAUAUUAUUUUAAGUCCAAAUGCUUAAAUGCUAAGUUGUGUUGGUUUAAAAUUCAGAAACAGGAUAACUUCCCAAAUGAAUGUUGAGCAACCCCAAAAUGACCGCCCACCUUUCUUUGUGAAGUCUAAAGUUGUUAAAACCUUAUAUGUGUACACAAUCACCAUCAAGUCAAGCUCGAGUUUUAAAUUGCAACACACUUUACUUUAUGAAGAAAUCAAAGUUUAAUUCUUGUCUAGGUGAAUGUGGUGAAAAUGCAAUUUAUACUUCUGCAAUAGAUCAUGAAAUGCAACCUGCAUUGAAAGCAUGGAACAUUGAACUCUUGCAUUGCAUCUCGUGUAGAAGCUAACCUUGCUAAUGGGACAUACGAGCUCGUACCAGACAACGAAGAAGGACAGCAAGUGGGAGAGCUGAACCUAAUCAAGGCAAACCAAGGCCCGAACCAAAGUUUGGAAGAGCCCAAGGCUGAUUUAGGGCAAGAAGGCAAGUCCCAGAGCAUAAUCCUAGUUUCCAAAUUAUGCAAUACUUAUGUUGCUUAUGUUUGUGCAUUAAGUUCAUAGGAGUUUCUUGAAACCUUAGUUGCAUGCUCCUAGUACCCAUGACUUGAAUACUAGCAUGUUAAGUCGAGUAGAUGCUAUGCUAAAUAGGGACACGGUAAAAUUCGAGUGAUUUCCUGUCACUCGCGAGCUAUAGGAGUUGCCUAUUUACUUAUGUUGGAAUCAUAAGGUUGACGGGUGGGGCUUGGUACUAUAUUCUGCAAUUAUUGAUGCCCCAUCUGUAUAGAGGAAAAACUGCUAAGGUCGAAACGUGUGGGAGUCUUGGUCAAGUUUUUGAAUGUACUAAACACAUGCUGAGAGUAUGGGGAAUCAGUAAACCUAGUACCUAAUUGAACCGGCGUGGACCUUUCCCCCACUCUCUCUGAAACUGGGUUCCCUUGCGGCCACAUGUGGGUACAAGUGCAGUCACGGUACGGCGUCGUUCUGGGACUGGUGGGGCCUUGUAUCCAAGGGAAGUGGGAUCUGGAUAAAUACCAUAAAUUGGCAGGAACCGUUGUUAUAAGUGAACCUGUCGCAGCAGUAGCAUAUGUCGUGUGUUUAGGUCCACCUUGCAAGGUUAAGAAAUUUGAUUUGAAUCGUCUGCUUCUCACAGUUUGGGAUUGCUUGACCUCUUUUCCUGCAUUGAGUAAGAAGGUGAACAAGGAUGAUGCUUAAUAUUGAUUCUUGAUUAAUUUGCUUGUUCUACCAUGCUUGCUUAGAAUAGGUGCUUACCUAGAAUGGUUAAUCAACUAGAAUUUGAUGCUAAAACUUGAAAGCAAGGACCUAUUUUAGAAGCUUUUGGCAAAAACAAACCCCUCAACCAAAAAGCCUUGCAUGUCUAGGAGUUGAUGGAUUAGAUACCACCUGACGGGUAAGUCUUGCGGAGUAUUAGUAUACUCGACCUUGCUUGUGGCUAUAUUUUCAGGUAAUGAGGUGGAUGUGAAUGACUUGGUUGCCAGUUUGACUUGGCCAUCUCAGCUCCCUCCGGGAUGGACAGUUGAGUGAGACCUGUCCUCGGUCGGCGAGGAUUGUGGUGUUUGAUAUCAUGGCAGGCUUCACCAUGGUAUUGGUAUCGAGGUUAGACUUAUCGUUUAUUUCUGCUGCUUUUGAACUCUGAAUACUUCUUUAUGCAUUUAAAUUCUUGAGUUGUAAUAACUUGAUCUAGGACCUGUAAUAAUUUAUCUGGAUUGUUGUAAUCUCUGGAGUCGUAUUCGUGCGAGUAUGCUUUGUUUCGAUCCGAAACUCAUGGUUGCAUCGGGUGAAAACCCGACAGACUGCCAUUUUAAUUCGAUUAAAGUGUCUAUUCGCAUUAGGCGAUGUUGAGUACACUUUAUCUAGGUUAACUUGGGUGGUUCUGCCACAGCUGGUAUCAGAGUGAAAAGCAUACAAAAGAGAAAACAACAAGCCCUAAACACUCUUUUCAAUAAAACUUGCAAGAAAAAAAUUGUGUUUGAAAAAUGCGUAAGUUCGUUAAGGAUGAAAGGUAGCUCGUGAAGCCCUAGGGGAUUGUGGAUUGAUCAGGUGGCUAAUUAACUAUUAGUUAUCUUAUACUGACUCCGAGUGCAUUUACUUUCUGUUAAAACUUACUUUCUUCCACAACGGUUGGCGCAGGGGUACGACAUUGUUGUAACGUACCCACGGCACCAUAUGCAAAUAUGGUGGUGGUACCCAAAAAAAAUGGUUGGUGCAGGGGUACGGCGAUUAUUGUUAUGUACCCACAGCAUCAUAUGCAAAUGUGAUGGUGGCACAUAAAAAGUGAAUACACUAUCUUAGCGUAUGAACGUUACCAAUACAGUGGAAAUCGUGCGGGUGCUAUUUCUAUAGUGAACGGUAAUGAAUGUGGACGCUUUCGUGAGUGCUGGCACGAAAGGUUCAGUUUGUACAUAUGAUCUUCUACAGGUACACUAACCAUGCUUACAUUCGUUAAUGACGGUUAGAAAUGCGACUAGUUAUUAUAGCGAGCCGUAACUGUUGCCUCAUGAGAGUAAUACCCUACGUCCUGUAUUUUGCUAGAUUGUAUUGCUUUGCGCUGGUGCGUGGAGUAAUUGAUGGGAUGGGAUUCGAUGCCCUCGGAAGGCACCCUUGGCCGCCUUGUAUAGGCUGACGACCUAGCAUUAUAAGUCGGUUUGAAUCUAAUCUAGUCGGUUAUUACGUGGAAAGCAAUCUGAGUCGGAUUACAACAAGUAUCCCGCGAUACCCGAGCUGAUUUGAAUCACCCGGCCUCCUUGACUUGUGCUCCAAGUAUCUUUGUGUCCUUGGCCCGCACGUUCUGGUCAGGUGGGCUCACUUAUCAGGACCAACCAGUAUCAUGGUCGGUGGGGACCCAUUGGGUACCCAUAUCCCUUAGGGCUCCACCAUAUUAGCAAUGGGCUAAGCGGUUUUAGUUAGCUCCUUUAGAGCAAGCUUCGUGGCCACCAACUCAGCCUUGCGCUCUUGGAUGCUCCUCAUAGCGUUUACUAGGUCGACCUCCCCGUCGGUGCACAUCUUCAUCUCCUUCUCCAGGUGGUGCUCCAAAUUGUUGUACAGAGCAGAUAACUUGUCAUGCUGAUCAGUCACCCUGUGGUAGGAGUUUUGCUAGUUGGUGGCUCGGCCUUGGAGAUCUUCCUUGGUUUUUUCAAGCACUGCAAGAACAACACAACAAAAAAUUUAGUGUUUUAACGCGCAAUCGGUACUCAAAGACCAAUGAGGGAACACAAAUUACCUUUAAGCUGAUGCUUCAAAGCCUUGUUGCACUUCCGAAGGCGAUCCUUCUCCUCCGCGGCUUGUUGGACCAGGUUGCGGUACUCAGGGGCUUGGUUGUCGUACUUCAUUAGUAGCAGGGAGGAGUACUCCCACUCCUUGCCAAGCUCUUACUCAAGUUCUUGAGCUCGCAUCACGGUGUCUCCGUUGCCUUGGAGCAUCUCUGACUUUUGGCGGGAGCGCUUGAUUAAAUCCUACCAAACAGAGCAAGUACUCAUAUAAGGAAUGAGUACUAAUUUUCCAAUUGGGGACAACAUAGAAGGAAAACUUACCGCUGCAUACUCACCUACACGGUAGUACAUUUCCAUCAUCGUGGCCUCUCACUCUAUGGUGAGCAGUGGGUCCGCGAUGAGCUGGAUAUCUUUCAGGUUCACCCCCUCAGCUAUCCAUGGUUCCUCAUGCUCUUCGGCAAUUGAUGCACAUGGUUGGUCAAUGGACUCACUUCAGAAGGUGGGAUGGAGGCCACGGCGCGGUUGGUCGACGGACCCGCUUCAGAAGAUAGGACGGAAGCCAGCACUUGAAGGGCUCCAGCAGCUUCAGCCUCUACUUCUGGCCCGGGGGCUACAAGGGUAGCCACGACACCAGAAGUAGUAGCCACCACAGCUUCGGUACUUACCUCCGGCUUGGGGGCUACAAAAGUAGCCACAACACCAGAAGUAGUCGCCACGAUGGGCUCGGCUACUGGCAGCUCGGGGGCUGGCACUAAAGUGUCAUUCAGUGACAAAAUUACAUCGUGCAUAAGUGCGGCAACAAGGAAUAUAACACCUGGAGUUAUUUCCGAUGCAGGCUGCUCCUCCGGCGGUGGACUUGUAAGCACCAGGACGUGGUCUUGGGACAAGUGGCUACCGCCAUCAGUUGUAGACUUCGGGCUCGGACCUCCAAUUUCCAUACUGGUGGAUUUUCUGAAAAAGACAAGUGUUAGAAGACAUAUUACAAGGCAAUAUCAAAUCACAAUCCAUACUCGAAUGUCAUUCUAGUACUUACUUUGUUGACCUCUUUAUUUUCAAAAAGGGUUCCCCCGCCAGGCGCAUGGGAUUGAUAGUGGGCGACGGUUUCUUCGGCGCGGCUUGUUGGAUCGCAGCUUGAUCCUCGCCAGCCUUAGUCGCUAACUCCUCCUCUUGGGUUGUUGCGCACCAAUGGGGUUGACCCUAGGAAUGGGAGGCUCUUCGUCAUCUUCGAUCUUGAUGACCUCCUUGAUCACUGGCAGCUCAUGUUGCACGACUUCUGUAGUCAUCUUCUCCACCUCUAUCAACCCCUCCCCCGACUAACUGCAAUCCACCAAUGUCGUACUAAGUAGACAUGGCGUUAAGGAAUUUACUUACGAGUACUUGAUUCUUAGGAUCUUAUCCUUCUUCGAAUGUGAUUACCGGAGGAGGGACGUCCAUAGCGGUGAGAGGCUUCUUUGCCACAUGCUUCGCGGUGACGGUGCGCCUCUUCUUCGGUGGUAGCACCAGACCGACUUUUAGAUCGUCCUACACCACUCGUUUGGACGACCCAGAGGAAGACCCGGCUUUGUCUGAUGGUCGGGCCUUGAUCACAAAAUCCUCAACAGCCUAUGAGUCAGAGCUGCUGAAGGAAGAGAAUCCUUCCGACUCCUCCUCCUCGACUAACCCCUGUAUGCUUGUGGCCGUGUGUACACGUGGGGCGGCGUUAGAGCCAUCUGAUCCAAGAGGAGGAGGAGUGGAGAAGAAUAAGUGAACAUCAACAGAUACAACAAUUGGUACUCGGGGGCUAUGGCCAUGGGUACUUAGACUUGUUGGUAGGUUUGCGGCGUAGUACUCCCGCACAAUAGUCGAGAUCUCACUUGCAUGCUUGAAUAGGCGCCUCAAUCGUGCCAUGACUUCAUCCACAGAGAGGUCAUCUGGUGACAUCCAGGAUGCAUCGUUGAGACCGGAGUAGUUGUACCCCCAUGUACACUGCAAUUGCAGAGGUUGGAUCCGCCUCUUCAUGAAACUAAAGGCUACUCCGACUCCUGUCAGCCCUUGCUACUUGAGUAUGGCUAUCUUCUCCAGGAGAUUAGGUAGCUGCAGACUAUCUCCAUGGGUAGGCUCGUCCAACCACCGGUUGUUCAAAAUUGGGCACUGGCCUGUGACCUUGGGAAGUCUGGGCUCAUGGUUGCCGAUAUAGCACCACCUCUCCUUCCAGCAAGAAUGGGAGUCAAUUAAUUCAUAAUCCAAAUACAAUCUCCCGCAUUUGGAUCCCAGCCCCACCGACAACUUCAGUAUGUUCCAUCUUGGGCUGGGGCUUGACCCUGAAGAUCUUCCAGAAUAAUUGAAAAUGCGGCUAGAUUUCAAGGAAGGCUUCGCAAAGAUGCACAAAAUUGCAAUGUGCAGAAUGGAGUUGGGGUUGAGGUGGACCAAUUUCAACUUGUAAUACUCCAAAAUCCCCCGAAAGAAAUUUGAAGUGGGCAAAGCCAAGCCUCGCUUAAUGAAGUGCGUGAAGAUUACCGUUUCACCAGUGUAGGUCUCCAUUGGCCAGGGGUUGCCGUAGGCCGCCCUCCAGUUGAUGAAGUCUUGGCCUUGGAAAAGAAUGGCUGCCACCAGUACCUUGAUGUCCGCCUCCUUCAGCACGGACUUCUUCCAGGCGCAGGCAGGCAAUGGCAGGGGCGUCUGGUUCAUCUUGCCGUACUUGGGAGCCGGCAACUGGAUCUCCUUCUUUUUCUCUACUUUCCUCUUCCUGUCUUCUGCUGCCUUGCUGGACGCCGCCUUCUUCGCCAUUCAUGCUACCACGAGGGUUUUCUUGCGCAUGCACUCGAGGGCUAAGCGAUAGGAGAUGGCGGCACUCAAGCUCGAGGAUCGGGAAGCAGCGGCGCUAGGGCUACAGUGCGGAAUUUGAAAGAGCAGAUGGCUCGGGUGAAACGGAAGGGAUGUUUACCUCCGUUAUUUAUAAUCGAGGCACAGUUAAAAUAGUGGCGAGAUUAACAGGAAUAUUCCGUUUUUAAACACCCAAAGAUUUCUUCCUCGGCUGACAGUUUCCAUUUUUUUUCGAAAGAGAUAAGGUUACUGUUAGCGAACAGUCACGUUGACCAGUGGUUGACCCUUAUACCCAAACUAGUCAUGUAAUGGCUCAAGGGCUGCGUGCCACGUGCCCAUCGGCUAAAAAGUUUUUCUUUGGAUUUUAAGGAAAAAGAGAUGUAAAAUUACAGAUUGACUCUCAGCCUUAUUCUUCGAUUCAACCUAAGGCUCGAGGCCUACUCCAAAUGGAGUGCGACUUUUGUCGCACUUCCAUAUAAAAUUUAAGAUAGAAGAUUCAAGACCAAGUUAAAUGAGGCUUAAGCACAUUCUAGACGCAUGGCAGUACUCGAGUACGUUUGAAGACUCAACCCGAUGGAGUACUCAAAGAGCACCAAAAACUAGUCGGAGAAGCCUACAAAAGUACUCGGGAUUGUUGCACUUGACUAAAAAGUACUCGGGGGCUUGUUAUACAUACAUCUAUGAGCCCAUUAGAAGGUUUGGACAGUCCUAGAUACAAGGCUGUACACCAAGAUGUGUUAGACAUGGAGACUGCGGUGUGGUCUACGUGGAGAAUAAGAACUAGUUGAGGAUUAGGAAACUACUCGUAGCAAUUAGAGUAGGACUCAUUAGUCGAAUCCGACUAGUAUUCUUGUAUUCAACUGACCUGUAACCCUACCCCCUGCAAUAUAAGGCGAGGUAGGGACCCCCUUCAAAGCAGUUCAAAUACAAUACAACCAACACACAGAAUGUAGGAUAUUACGCAAUCUAGCGGUCUGAACAUGUCUAAAUCUUGUGUUCGAGUUUACCUUCAAGUUCCUGAUCUCGGCAAGCACCACGCAUUAAACACUACCUCGGGCACCCCCUCGGUAGGUUGCUGGGUCUAAACACCGACAUAGCGUAAUCUGUACCAAAACUUUAUUGGUAGAAUCAGGAGAAUUUGGAUCUAGAUUCAACAAAUUAUCAUUUGAAAUCUUUGUUAUAUCAUGAGAACAACUUCAAAACAUCGGAUAUUCAUUUAUUUGGUACCACUCCCUCCGUUUAUGUACUGCUUCGCCUAUAUUGAAGUACGUUGUUAGGUACUAGUCCCUCCUUUUAUAAGGUGUAUGCGCAUAAGUGUAAUAAGGAAGACAAAGUCAUAUCAUAUGAUGUCUUAUAAACAAGAACGGAGGGCGUAUUUAAGAUAGAGAACUACUAGAUAUAUUGAGUUUUACAUUGGAAAACCAAAGAAACCUCCCGUCUAUUAGGUGUGCUUACUACGAUUGGAAAUCCUUGUACCAUCCUGGCAACAUUGGAAAUCCUUGUACCAUGCCUUCCAUUGGAUGUGUUUACUACUUAAUCAUGUGCACAUUGGAAAUCAAACAACCCUCCCUUUGGUUGCAUGUGCUUACUUACAUAUCAAUAUUGGAAACCAAAGAAAUCUCCCUUCGAUUGGUUGUGCUUACUACUUAUUCAUGUUCACAUUGGCAAUCAAACAUCAUUUUUCCUGAUUGGAUUUGCUAACUACUCAAUCAUGCGCACAUUGGAGAUCAAAUAUCCCUCCCUUUGCUUGCAUGUGCUUAUGUACACACAUGUCAACAUUGGAAACCAAAGAAAUCUCCCUUCGAUUGGGUGGGCUUACUACUUAUUCAUGUGCACAUUGGCAAUCAUUUUCCCCAACUGGAUUUGCUAACUACUCAAUCAUGCGCACAUUGGAGAACAAGCAUCCCUCCCUUCGAUUAAAUGGCUCCCUUGGAUUAAGUAGCUCCGGACAUAGUUUUGGGUUACAUUGAAGAUUACAAACAAAAACACUACGAAGGUAGUUUUGGGUUUCUUGUAUUGAUAGCAUCACUCAUUACAUGAUGACAAGGUCGGAGAAGUCUCCAUUUUAGGUGGCGGAAGACUAGACCAUGCCACGCCUGUAUCACCGCAUGUAUCCAUAAUCUUAAUCCACUCCGUCGACUCAAACACUUGGAAAUCCAAGUCUUCAACGCCCCUAGAGCAAUUAGAUGAUCUAGCUUUAUCCGCAACUUGAAGACGACAUGACAGCCUAUCUGCUUGGUCAUUCUGCAUCCCAUUGGUACCAAACCAGUUAUAAGACUUGUCCGACUUCGGUACAAACUCCGCCAGAUCACCAAUAGUUAAAACCUGAGCACAAAGCCUAGGCAAAAAUUAUUACAAGGCUCAACGAAAUAGUUGGUUCGUACAUGACAAUGAAACAUUUAUUGUUCAAAUUGAAUACAACAAUCAAUGGCAACGAAAGAAUUGUUUAACAUUCUACCUCUUUAUCAUCAGGGUUCGAAGAAGGUGCCGACAUAGUAGGAUUGGUUGACAAAAGAGGGUCAACAGGAGCUAGAGAUACAUGAUUAUUUGGUGGAGGAGGAGGAGCAGUAGCAGGUGCAGCAGAACCUUCUGAAGUAGUUGGAGCAGGAGCCGGUGCAGCAAAGCCUUCCGACAUAGUUCGACCAGGAGCAGGUGUAGGAGAGCCUUCCGAUGUAGCGAGACCUUGAGCAGGUGUAGGAGAGCCUUUCGACGUAGCAAGACCAGGAGCAGGUGCAGGAGAGCCUUCCGACGUAGCGAGACCAGGAGCAGGAGCUACCGCAGAUUCUUCCUGAGCUUGCAAAGUAGUGAGACCAGGAUCAUCUUGAGUAGCAGCGGUAGACACUUUACGAUCAUACGGAUCUGUAGCUGUUUCCACCACAGGAUCUUCCUUUUGCUAUUGCGAGGCAGCGAUAUCAGAUAGAACCAUGAGUAUUGAUGCAUUUGCUUCCUCACCGUCGCCACCCUUUUUUGCGGGAACAAGUGUGGAAUCCUUUUCUACCAGGGUCGUCGUUGAUGUCAACAAUUGUGGAAUUCCAACUGAACUAUGAUGCGGCACAGAGAUUUUAGAGGAUUUACCCGGUUCAGUCAUGAUUAACAAGGGGGUCUGACCAGCAUGUGGGAAUUGUAGUUGCAGUGCAGGUAACCCGACCUGCUGGUACACCUGAUUGAGUGCAGUAGAGAAGGUGGUGAUCACAUUGUUGAUGUUCUGGUCUGCCCUCUGUGCCACCUGCUCUAGCCACACGAAUUCUCUCUUCCUGACGAGCCAGUCUCAUCCAACCGUUUUUGUAGCUCAACCAAGUGGAGAUUACUUUCUACUUGUUUUGCCUGACCAUCAACCAGUCCCUGAAGAAUUAAGGCAAGCUCCGUCGGCUGACUGGCUAUUACUGUAGUGACCUGUACUGUUUCUGUAGCAGAUCACGAUGCACCUGCCUCCUGAUCAUGAGUGACAUGGAGACAAGGUACAUACGUAUUUUCCUCCUCACUACCUUCACUGUCUGAGCAAUAAUUCUUGUCCAAUAUGUUGUUCCUAUUUUUAUGCUCAUCAAGAGAUGGCUCAUUCCUAGCCCUUAGGCCACGAUGUCUAUCUGCUAGUCUCGCUGGCUUGUAUAGCUUGAAUUGUAUUUUGGCAUUGUUGUACUCAUGUCGCCAACUUUUGGGUCCAGUUUGCACCUCUCUACCGUUCUCAUCUAUUUUAGUAAGAUGACUCAGGAUGAUGGAGAUCUAGUGAGCAUACGGCAUUUGUCGGGCCACGGUCAACCCAUCAUGGAUAACAUCUUGAAUCUCACAAAGAAUUAAGUCCACGAUGUCGAACUCCCGGCUAGUCAUAGCAGGAAGCACCAGAUUCGUGCUACCGUAGGACUGAGCUGCCGUGGGUAGGCCCAGAUCUCCACCGGAGUGCUCCGUCCUGGCCACCUUCUCUCUAUUCUUCUUUUUUCCCUAUAGCGGGAGCGCGGCGGCGGGUAAACUAUUUUUUUGCUGCAGCGCGGGAUUUUCUGCUGCCAAAUACCACACUCACCUGAAACUUACCUUACAUGUGGGACCCUGUCGCGGUAAAGACUUCCCAUUCAAUCGGUAAUAGGUUCGGCUCAUUGGAGGAGCACGUUUUCCAUUUUAUUUUCCUUCCCUAUUUAUGAACUUAAACUUACAUGUGAGAUCCUGGUUGGUUUAUGAUAUUUUCGCAGCUUAUAUCAUCACAAAACCACCAUGUAACAGCUAGUGACGAUUUCUUUUUAGCUACAGUGGCAACUUUUAUAACGUUCUGUAACUUUAUCACUAAAUUUGCUCGGAUGUGAAACUUUAUAACGUUUUCAGCUAGAAACGUCAUAGAUCUAUGACAAGAACAAAUGUAUCAUAAAAUUUUCUUCAUAGAUCAACACAUUUCUUGUAGUGAGGUCGAGCUUGCUUGGUUUAAAGUCUGGGGACGCGAAGUGGAGGUGCGAGGUGUGCACGGGCACUGCAGGCGACACGGGCAUGGGCUGGCGCGUGGGGGGCGAGGCCGUAUGCUGGUGACGAUGUGGCGCGAGGGCUCUGGCGCGGUCGGCCACUUCCGAACAACCGUU
rnacentral:lncRNA from 1 species